rnacentral:rRNA from 1 species
AUUGAACGCUGGCGGCAUGCUUUACACAUGCAAGUCGAACGGUAACAGGCCGCAAGGUGCUGACGAGUGGCGAACGGGUGAGUAAUGCAUCGGAACGUGCCCAGUCGUGGGGGAUAACGCAGCGAAAGCUGCGCUAAUACCGCAUACGAUCUCUGGAUGAAAGCGGGGGACCGAAAGGCCUCGCGCGAUUGGAGCGGCCGAUGUCAGAUUAGGUAGUUGGUGGGGUAAAGGCCCACCAAGCCAACGAUCUGUAGCUGGUCUGAGAGGACGAACAGCCACACUGUGACUGAGACACGGCCCAGACUCCUACGGGAGGCAGCAGUGGGGAAUUUUGGACAAUGGGCGCAAGCCUGAUCCCGCAAUGCCGCGUGCAGGAAGAAGGCCUUCGGGUUGUAAACUGCUUUUGUACGGAACGAAACGGUCCGGGUUAAUACCCUGGGCUAAUGACGGUACCGUAAGAAUAAGCACCGGCUAACUACGUGCCAGCCGCCGCUGUAAUAC